UCUUGCUUAGAGAAAGAAAUCGUGAUGUUUAUUCAGGAACGUACUUGAAGCAAAUGUAGAUUUUCAUGGUGGAGUUGAGCAUUGUUAAACAUUCAUUCUCCAAUUCUAUUUUGUCACAGGUUUCUGAAGGCAUCUGAAGCAGAGACAGAAACCAACCCAAUCGACCGCACUGUGGCUCAUCUGCUGUUCCAUAGGCCUUUAGAGCUCACAGGAAAGAUUGUCGAGACACCUGACCAAACUUAUCAGCUAAGCUCCUCCACUAUGACAGGCAAGCAUCUAGAUCAAUAAGCUUGCAAACUAACAAUUUGCCUCGAAGAUUAGAGAACAAGCAAAUACUAUCCCAUGAGGAAUCAGAGGUUCCUUGCCUGUUUCGUAAAGAGAAUCAGUUGGAAAAAGCUUUGGAAACUUCUGAAAAUACAUUAACCGCCAGAGUUGCAGAAACUGGAAUAAUGAAAGUCGAGCCCUCCCAGUGAGAACUGAAGUAAAUCUUUAGAAGGCCAACUGGUACCUCUCUGUCAUGGUUUUGGAAGGUCCAAUGCUAAAGUCAUGACCAUGGAAGAAGUCGCUCACUGGAAGUUCAUAAAAUCGAUAUUCCCUUCAAAAGGGAGUAUAUCAUAUGUCUGAAGUUCAUAUUCUGGUUGACUAGAAUAUCGAUGUCGUCACACGUCCUGUUGCGAGAUCUGAAAGUAGAUUGAAGCUACCAAACUUCUACAAAUAUGGCCGCUUCGCAUAUUUGCUCAUUUGACUAGAUUAACUUGUUUGUGUCAACUUAUUUAUACCUGCGUGAUCUGUUUGCUAGACGUGUCAGUUACAUCUUCAUUUA